UCUAUCAAGCUUGCCGCUGUUACAUAUACCUUUCAUGUGAAAUAUGCUGCAGAGUACCGUCACCAUGCAUUUUGUAGACGACUUGAUGAUGGCAUCUUACCAUCUUGGCUAUGUUCUGGAGUUCUCAGGUAUCUCGAUGUAUCCCAGGUAUCUCUCUCAUCAUAUAUUGAUACUACUGAAACUAAAUUGCCCUUCAUAAAAUUCUAUAAACUAGAAUGGAAAUGUUAAUUAUCGAGAUCAAUUACUCUGGAGUUCUCAGACUGAAAAUAGGCUCAUGAAUCAUAAACAAUUAAUGUCAGAACUCAAAACACCCCAUAUAACCAAGUUUUUGUUUCUACAAUAAUUGCAGUUUUGUAUCUUUUGUUUCACAAUUUUACCUGGUUGGAUUUCUGUUUUUGUUUAUCUAGGAUAUGAACCAAAGGAAGAUAAUUUAUUGUGCUAUGUUGUCCUUUUUCAUAUCGGCUUCUUGUCACUCUUUUUUUGGUAGGUAUUUAUACUGCAUGAACUUCAUUUGUAUUAUAUUUUUGGUAAUUAAUCCUCCCAGGUAUACAAUUUUCUCAAGCAAGUGCAUGUAGCCAUAGGCUCAUAAGUGUUUGUUUCUAUUAUUUUUAUCAAUUCAGUUGAAAAAUAAUGACUUCUUUGAUAUCUCCCCUGUUUAUAAGUGUAUCAUGCAGGUAGGGUAAACAUCUUCGUGGUCUCUUUUCUGUGGUCUGUGGUUGUAGGUUUAAAUUGAUGCAUUCAUGCUAAAAAGAUAAAAAUUGGUCCCUCUAUAUACAGGUGAACUGUAGAGAAGUAUUUCACAUGGCGCUGGCUUUAUGGAAGUAACACCCAGAUAAAGGAGAUCAAUUAUAGGGUGGGAUGAUGUUCUUUCUUGCUAUAUUCUCAACUGAGCAUCAUACAAAGAUACAAUAUUCGAAAACUGAAAUAUUUUGAACGGUGCUUACAUUAUUGAGAAUCAAAAUGAGACCCAAUUUUUUAUUAUUCUUUGCUUUCCUACGUUCAUAUAUAUAAUCAAUAGUUUGGUGGCGUAAUGAAGUGUGGCUUAUUAUGCAAAUUAGUUCAGGCAAAAACAAUUGUUAGUUCUGAGAAAAGCUAAUAUGAUGUGUCGUUACUCCAAUGUAGGUUGGCAUGUCUGCGCACUUCGCCGAUUGUCUACUUUAUUUGCAGCGUGUAAUGCGAUUUGUUUAGGGGCUCUUAUCCGCCUCUGGUUAUAGACGGAGUAACAAACAUGGUUGAUUGUUAUUUCUUUCCUUUAAUAGGUAUGGAACACUACGCCUGUGUCAAUUAUGUAUAGCCAUAUGUUCUUAUUUCGUCUUCUCACAUCUGGAAGUACAAUAUUAAGGACCGGAAAAUAGAGAGGAUCUAGGAAGCCGCCGAUUUUGUGCAGCAGGACAGGCAUUUUGUCCUCGUAGGCAACCGUCCUUUCACGAUCAUCGAGCUUCUGUCGAGCUACACCAUCAGCCAUCCGGGAUUCUGAACUGGCUUUACAGCUGACCACAUGAGGCGCUGAUGAACUGGGUGACAUUUGGGCCUAUCGUAUGCAUUGCUAAGAAAUGGUUCCUGUUUUAUAGUUUUUUAUUAUUAUUUUGGUUAUGCCUUGACUUGUUGAUGGCAAGACUCUAGGUGGUAUCUUUCGUCAUGGGAUUACUGUUAGCUAUCUUAAUUAGGACAUGAUAUGUACCCAAUGCUCCACUAUGUUGACGCUACUCCCUCUGUAACUUAAUAUAAGGCGUUUUUGAUUCUUUCAUAGACUCUAAGAACGUCCUGUAAAAAGCUACAGAGGUAGUAUCUUUCUGCAUUAGAGAGUUUCAG
rnacentral:lncRNA from 1 species